rnacentral:rRNA from 1 species
AGAGUUUGAUCCUGGCUCAGAUUGAACGCUGGCGGCAUGCCUUACACAUGCAAGUCGAACGGUAACGCGGGGGCAACCCUGGCGACGAGUGGCGAACGGGUGAGUAAUACAUCGGAACAUAUCCAGUAGCGGGGGAUAACCUAUCGAAAGAUGGACUAAUACCGCAUACGAUCUACGGAUGAAAGCAGGGGACCGCAAGGCCUUGCACUAUUGGAGUGGCCGAUGUCGGAUUAGCUAGUUGGUGGGGUAAAAGCUUACCAAGGCGACGAUCCGUAGCUGGUCUGAGAGGACGAUCAGCCACACUGGAACUGAGACACGGUCCAGACUCCUACGGGAGGCAGCGGUGGGGAAUUUUGGACAAUGGGCGCAAGCCUGAUCCAGCCAUGCCGCGUGAGUGAAGAAGGCCUUCGGGUUGUAAAGCUCUUUCGGUGAAGACGAAACGGUUCAUGCUAAUAACGUGAACUAAUGACGGUACUCACAGAAGAAGCACCGGCUAACUACGUGCCAGCAGCCGCGGUAAUACGUAGGGUGCAGGCGUUAAUCGGAAUUACUGGGCGUAAAGCGUGCGCAGGCGGUUUGCUAAGACAGGUGUGAAAUCCCCGGGCUUAACCUGGGAAUUGCGCUUGUAACUGGCAAGCUAGAGUGUGGCAGAGGGGGGUGGAAUUCCACGUGUAGCAGUGAAAUGCGUAGAUAUGUGGAGGAACACCGAUGGCGAAGGCAGCCCCCUGGGUUAACACUGACGCUCAUGCACGAAAGCGUGGGGAGCAAACAGGAUUAGAUACCCUGGUAGUCCACGCCCUAAACUAUGUCAACUAGUUGUCGGGGAAGAAAUUCCUUGGUAACGAAGCUAACGCGUGAAGUUGACCGCCUGGGGAGUACGGCCGCAAGGUUAAAACUCAAAGGAAUUGACGGGGACCCGCACAAGCGGUGGAUUAUGUGGAUUAAUUCGAUGCAACGCGAAAAACCUUACCUACCCUUGACAUGCUAGGAAGCCCGCAGAGAUGUGGGUGUGCCCGAAAGGGAACCUAGACACAGGUGCUGCAUGGCUGUCGUCAGCUCGUGUCGUGAGAUGUUGGGUUAAGUCCCGCAACGAGCGCAACCCUUGCCAUUAGUUGCUACAUUCAGUUGGGCACUCUAAUGGGACCACCGGUGACAAACCGGAGGAAGGUGGGGAUGACGUCAAGUCCUCAUGGCCCUUAUGGGUAGGGCUUCACACGUAAUACAAUGGUCGGUACAGAGGGCUGCCAACCCGCAAGGGGGAGCUAAUCCCAGAAAGCCGAUCGUAGUCCGGAUUGUAGUCUGCAACUCGACUGCAUGAAGCCGGAAUCGCUAGUAAUCGCGGAUCAGCAUGUCGCGGUGAAUACGUUCCCGGGUCUUGUACACACCGCCCGUCACACAUGGGAGUGGGUUCCACCAGAAGUAGUUAGCCUAACCGCAAGGAGGGCGAUUACCACGGUGAGAUUCAUGACUGGGGUGAAGUCGUAACAAGGUA